UUCCAGACCCAAUUACUGCGGAGGUUGCAAUGCUGAAUGGUUCGUCGGAGAAAUUCAAGUGUUCACCUGUGGAGCGUUCUGAUGAAGGGUGAAGUCAACGUUCGGAGAAAACCAAGAGGAAAGCAAAGGAGAUAGAUAAGAGGAAGGCAGAGUUAUCCAAAAUAAAAUUUUGUUUCCCUCCAA